AUUGAACGCUGGCGGCAGGCCUAACACAUGCAAGUCGAGCGGAUGAAGAGAGCUUGCUCUCUGAUUUAGCGGCGGACGGGUGAGUAAUGCCUAGGAAUCUGCCUGGUAGUGGGGGAUAACGUUCCGAAAGGAACGCUAAUACCGCAUACGUCCUACGGGAGAAAGCAGGGGACCUUCGGGCCUUGCGCUAUCGGAUGAGCCUAGGUCGGAUUAGCUAGUUGGUGAGGUAAUGGCUCACCAAGGCUACGAUCCGUAACUGGUCUGAGAGGAUGAUCAGUCACACUGGAACUGAGACACGGUCCAGACUCCUACGGGAGGCAGCAGUGGGGAAUAUUGGACAAUGGGCGAAGCCUGAUCCAGCCAUGCCGCGUGUGUGAAGAAGGUCUUCGGAUUGUAAAGCACUUUAAGUUGGGAGGAAGGGCAGUAAGUUAAUACCUUGCUGUUUUGACGUUACCGACAGAAUAAGCACCGGCUAACUUCGUGCCAGCCGCCGCCGUAAAAC
rnacentral:rRNA from 1 species